AUCACUUCAGAGCUUUGAGUUUGAAACGCCAAAACCAAAGCGAUAUCAAAACAAGGCUUUGGAGCCUCAACUUUGGAGGAGGCGGCUUUUUGUGUGGCUAUUUGUCUUGGUGACUUGUGCUGCUUACUUGUGCAUUUUUGGUCUGACAAGAAGGCAAUUUUCUUUUUGUUUCUUUUCAUCUUCCUUGCUUUUGCUGGUCUCUCCUUGGCCUUCCCAACUCUGUAUUUUUUUGUUCUGACACAAUAACAUAACCUCAACCCUCUUUUAUUUUAGAGUAGGUCCUGUACGCCAUUCUUCUUUCUUUUCCUUAUGUGCAACACGAAUUGGGUUUCUUUGCCUAACACAACAUGCACAAGCCAAAGAGCUAUUUGUGUAUUUUGCUGAGUUUGGCAGUACCAACUUCAUAGCUGAAGCUUCUCCCACUUUUUAAUCUCAAAGAAGGCUUUCUUUGUUCUUGGCUUAUGUUGCUUUUGGGUUCUUCAACAGCCGCAACACAGGAGGCUUCUUGACUCACAUCAUUUGAGAGGGCCAUCAUACUGCCAAUUGAGGUGCUGGCUUUGCUUUGUCUUAGUUGCUUCAUGUUUUGCCAGCAACAAAGUGAGAAGCUUUUAUGAUGUUUGCAAUUUGCUACAGAGGAGUGCUGGCUUAAUAAUUUUCUUGGGCUAUCUGGCUGGGGAUUUUUUCUUUGUUGGCAAAUUUUGAAGCACAGAACGUGGGUGUGAAUCAUCAGUUUUUCACGUUUUGCUACCUGUUCUUUCUCCAAUCUACAGAUUUGGAAUUUUGCUCUGCUGAAGGUGGGUUGAGCAUGUAACAAAGCGUCUGAACCGUUGAUAUUUUCUGUUUUUGGUACUCAAGAACACUCGCAAGGUCUUCUCUGAGUACCACAUGUUCACAGCACUUGUACAGUGGGGUUCUUGUAGAAGCCCAUCUGUAAUUCACAACAGAGAGGUCCUUGUGAGAGCUCUCUUUGUGUAAGUAGCAUAAUUAUUGCCAAUUUGGGAGGAUUUGUUCACAUUUUUCCCCUGCUGAGGUCUCUGUUGAUAUGAUACAUUUCUUGAUAUCAAACAUGGAGGAAGUUCAGGCUUCUGUACAAUGGCCUCACAUACAUAUUUUUUUACCUGCAAGUCAGUUGUUCAUAAAGGAUACUUAAAUGAAUUUGUUUAUACCUUCUCAGUGGUAUUGUGACAGAGCUUCGUAUCUCUUUUGCUUGCUUAUAUUCUUUGGAUUUCUGCAGCAGUUCGGUGUUUCUUUUUUUCUUCUGUGUAUUUCUGCAGCAGUUUGGUGCUUUUUCUCUUCUGUGUUCUUUGCCUCCUUUAGCCCCUUUUUAUAGACUUAGAGGAACUGACAGAGUGGAGCCAGUUAUGGCCUCACGUACUGUGUGGGUGGGAGUAACUUCCCAUUACAGUCACCCCCUCAACGUACAUGUUCUGAUACUGCUUUCAGCACGUUAAUAUUUUCUUUGUAAAAAUAUUAAUAUUAAUUCAUUUGGGCCUAGAACAAUUUAGCAACAAGUCCACAAAACCAUUUUAGCUAUGAGCCCAACUUCUUUAAACUUGGGCCAAUAUUUAAUUUGCUGUCAAUGAAUUUUUUUCAUUUCAACACGUUGUCUAGAGUGUCUAUGACAAGUUUGUAUACUUCUUGUAGUCAUCGUUCUAUAGUGGAUUUUCCUUGAACUAUCAAGCCCCGUGGAUUUUCUCCAGAGGUGGGAUUUUACCACGUAAAAUAACUUCUGUGUUUUUAUUUGUUUAUAUGUUCUGUACUGUAGAAGAUUGAUACAUCGUAUCAAUCCCUUUGGCGUGUUUUUAUAUAUUACUGUAUUACUCUUGACUACUCAAAACGCAUACUUUACUCUUUUAGUGUUUUAAGCCAUCCUAUAGGUAUUUUCAAAAAGAAAAUAUUCUCUUUG